UUGCCUUUCUUGAAGACAACUCUACUGAGGCCUCUGGUAAAGAGGUCGAGAGGCGAACUGGGACUGUGGAUGAUGAAAGUACUGGGAACGAUGGUGCUAAGCCUAGCUUUGUGAGGUUUCCAAAAACCCAGUCGGUUGUUCCUCCUCCUUUGGAGACUGAGGCCGAAGAGUCUGCCAAAACUUCCAAUCCUAUUAUACUCUGGCAGGUUUAUGCAUUGGGAGGAAUCCUUAUUGCAAGGUGGAUUUGGGCAAGAUGGAAUGAGAGGAGGCCUAAAGGGAGGAACCCCAAUGAUGAGAAUUCCCAAAAUAGGCGUUCUUCAGAUGAGAAUGAGGGUCGACCGUCUGGUAAUGAAUAGAGAUUUUGAUUUUCUAUAUAGCUUGGGUUGUUAGAUGUCUGAACUCACUUCGACAUCUUCUCAUUGGCUGUGUAAAUCGCCACUGUUUUAUAAAGCUCCUCUUUAGCUUCAUAGUAUUACAAAUCUUUUGCUUGACAUGUGAACUUUGACUCUUGCAGUCCUAUACUCCUCUUGAACUUUGAUGUUGCGUUUAUCAUUGUAUUAAAACCAACAACAUUUGUUUCAUGAAUUGAAUUUGAAUGUGUAUAGGGUUAGCUCUUAAUAAUUAUUCCUACUA